rnacentral:tRNA from 1 species
GCCCUUAUCGUCUAGUGGCCUAGGACGCGGCGUUCUCAGCGCUGAAACCGGGGUUCGAUUCCCCGUAAGGGCG